AUGUACAGACCCCUCCGCCCUAUGAGAAAGCCCCGGCAGCAGCUGCUGGACACCCUCCAGGAAAACCGCCAAGGGUGCUGGAUUGAGCCACAGUGCAGACCUGGAUUCUGUUCUCAGCUCUGCCUCAACCUCCAUAUCCUUCAUGCCCCCCGGGUCACAUGCUUCCAACUGGAGGUAUUUGACUCUAUUCUGAUCGCCAAGUCUGCCAAAGAACCCACUUUCAGAAGGAAUUGAGCGCCUUCACUGCUCAGACAGCUUUCCAACAGCUUGCAAGUUCACUACCAAAUAUGGUCGGCUGACCAGUUUACAAUCUGUGCUGCUGAGGGUGCGCUCUGUGCAUGACCUACCAGCCAGCCUCUUCUGUGUCUGGGGGAACAGAGGGCGUUUUUGCAACAGAUGCCAUCCUCUCCUGCCCUUCCCUCCCAGGAAGCAGAUUAGCCACACCAAGAUCGGGCUGGGUCUGCGGGAACAGCCCCCUCGGAAGGCACUCCUUGUGGAGGAAAGGCCCUGAGAACCAAAGGAGCCUGAGAUAGGGUGUGACCCCAGUUUCUAUGCUUAGACUUCAGCCUCCCCACUCCUACGCAAGGCCACAUACCCUUCCCAGAUUAGGAUGCCAGAAAUAUGCCUGUCCAUGCGGCCACAGCAGGGUUGUAACUCAGCUGUGAGAAAGGGCAUGUUUUGAGCCCAAACAUCUACUUGGGAAAUUUUCCUGCCCGUGCAUUCCCACUGAGAUCAAUUUACAGGUGAAUGUACUAGGAGAGGUUUUCGUAUCAGGUUUUCUGUACAAAUCAUUAAGCUCUCAGGUACUAUUUUACACAAUGAAUGGGGUAAAAUCCUCAAUAUGACACUUACUGGCAGCUGAGUUUUCCAAGUUUGGGAAAAGAUGCACAGACCGGGGGUGCCAGGGCAGCUCAGUUGUUAAGCGUCUGCCUUUGGUUCAGGUCGUGAUCCCAGAGUCCUGGGAUCAAGCCCCGCAUCAGGCUCCCUGCUUGGCGGGAAGCCUGCUUCUCCCACUCCCGCUCCCGCUCCCCCUGCUUGUGUUCCCUCUCUCUGUCAAAUAAAUAAAUAAAAUCUUAAAAAAAAAAAAAAAAGAUGCACAGACCACAAAUGAAUCUUCUCAACGGUAUUCGGCGCUGACCAGUCUUCCUGAGACAAGGCCCUGAGCAGUCCACCCCCACCACUAAGUUUUGUAUCAACAUACAGAACAAAACUAGCAACGGGAGCUCUCUGGCACUAGAACGGGUAAUUCCUUAGCUGUUCACACAACACCCAAGCUGCAUGCCACAUGACAUUAGACUGCUGGUUAACAGCUGAAUUCUGCAUUAAGAAACUGCAUGUUCUAGCUACAUUUUCCAGUAUCAAUACGCUAACCACAUCUAAUACUUACUGCCCAAGGUAAAGACUCCUCUAAGAGGUUUAUUAAAGAAAACACAAUUGAGAGUACUAUUAAGAAAAACAUUUCCAAUCUUGGAAGCAUAUAGCC
rnacentral:lncRNA from 1 species